rnacentral:lncRNA from 1 species
CAGCUGCAGUUCAAGAGCUUUGGAUUUAGAGUGGAGCAUAGCAAAAUUGUCGACCAACAAACCAUGGCCGUGAAGACAAUUCUUUUGCUUGCUUAUGCAGCAUAAGCAUAAAUUGAAUGUUUUUUCCUGUCUCAAAGCAUACAGCACAGGUGAAAUACAGACCUUUGAGAAAUGCCUGACAAAGAUCACAGCAUGGCCUCCUGGUCUUAAUAAUAUACAUCAAAAUCAAGAAAUCGUUGAACCCAAUAUGGUCAUCAGGCUUCUUGCCUAACGCCGUA